rnacentral:rRNA from 1 species
UGGCGGACGGGUGAGUAACGCGUGGGCAACCUGCCCUGUGCCGGGGGAUACCGCCUGGAAACAGGCGCUAAUACCGCAUAAGCGCAUACAGCCGCAUGGCAGUAUGCGGAAAGCUCCGGCGGCACGGGAUGGGCCCGCGCCCGAUUAGCCAGUUGGCGGGGUAACGGCCCACCAAAGCGACGAUCGGUAGCCGGCCUGAGAGGGCGGACGGCCACAUUGGGACUGAGACACGGCCCAAACUCCUACGGAAGGCAGCAG